rfam:Schistosoma mattheei strain Denwood, Zambia genome assembly, scaffold: SMTD_scaffold0007698
AUCCUUCUGAACCCGUACCGAAAUCUCAUCAGACACCAGACCAUCAGGACUGAUGAGACUGCCGAGGUAAGUGAAGUG